UGGGGAAUUUUGGACAAUGGGCGAAAGCCUGAUCCAGCCAUGCCGCGUGAGUGAAGAAGGCCUUCGGGUUGUAAAGCUCUUUUAGUCGGAAAGAAAGAGUUGCAAUGAAUAAUUGUGAUUUAUGACGGUACCGACAGAAAAAGCACCGGCUAACUACGUGCAAGCAGCCGCGGUAAUACGUAGGGUGCGAGCGUUAAUCGGAAUUACUGGGCGUAAAGGGUGCGCAGGCGGUCUUGCAAGUCAGAUGUGAAAGCCCCGGGCUUAACCUGGGAAUUGCGUUUGAAACUACAAGGCUAGAGUGCAGCAGAGGGGAGUGGAAUUCCAUGUGUAGCAGUGAAAUGCGUAGAGAUGUGGAAGAACACCGAUGGCGAAGGCAGCUCCCUGGGUUGACACUGACGCUCAUGCACGAAAGCGUGGGGAGCAAACA
rnacentral:rRNA from 1 species